rnacentral:lncRNA from 1 species
AGGGAGGUCGAUGGUCUCCUCCUCACGGGGAGGGGGUCGGACCGCGAUCGGCGACUCCCACAGCCGAGCUCUCGGCUUCUUCGGUCGAGCCCGCGGCCGAGCUCUCGGCUUCCCCGGCCGAGCCCGCACCGGCGACGCUCACGGCCGUACACGGGCAAGUCCCCUCCUCCUCUCCUUUUUCUCUCUCUCCUUGGUUCCGAUCGGAAGCCCUAGCCAUUUCGGCCGGUCCUCCGGUCUUCUUCUUCUCCUCCGGCCGGAUCUACGGCCUCUUCCUCCUCUCUCUUUCUUUCUUUCUUUCUUUUCUUUGGUCCUUCCCUCCGGCACCACC